UGGUCCAAUUAUACUUGUUGGGCAGAGGCCGGUAAGGGCCAAGUCUAGCACCAUGUGGCUAGGGAGAUUGAUGGGCGGAGGCCGGUAAAAGCCACGUCCAACACCAUGUGGCUAGGUGGAUUGUUGGGCGGAGGCCGAUAAAGGGCUAAGUCUAGCACCUUGGCUCUCGAAAAUGUUAUGACGGUCUAUAAGGAAAUAAAGUUGCGCCGUCGCUACAAGUUAUAGCUUUUGGCAUAGUGGUAAGCGUUUGAUCUUAACACCUGGUAUUAGAGCCAGGUCACGGGCCGGUAAGGGCCAAGUCCAGCUGGGAAGAGGGAUUGUUAGGUAUAGUGGUAAAAGCUUGAUCCCAACAUUAAGGAACAAUGUUCUAAGAAUGUAUAAUUUUCAAAAAAAAUGUAUAAAUAUUUGGAAGAGACAAAAACCAAUUGGCAUAAGCUUUUGGAUAUGUGGGAACAGAACUAACUUAUAGGUUUAUGACAACAAAUUCAACUUG